GGGCAAUUGCUCUUUUUCCAUACAGCCCUCCUUAUGGGAAACUGACUCACACCCUAGAGGAAACGAUUGGACAGCGUCAGCAAGUUGGUUCUGCAUGUCAGGCAACUGGCAAGCUUAACCCUCAAGCAGUGCACACAUGGCUACACAACACUGUUUACAUUGGCGUUUGCCUCGCCAGCAACAUUCCAUGCAAGAAUACGUUUAUGCCAUGUAACAUAGACAGAGACCUGUGACGGGGUAAGCGGUUCUUUUCAAACAUUCUGAUAGCAUGUCUGUGCAAAGGCGUCUCCGACCAACCCUCCGACACACAUCCACAGACAGGUGGCAGCAGAGAGCCACAGCACAUGCCGAAGGCAUCUCAGAGGCCACAGUAACAGGGUUCAUGUCUGUCUUAGUGGCUCUUCUAUUCCAUGCCAGUUGUGUCUGACUGUCGCUUCUCAGAUAUUUCAGACUUCACACAGCGGCAUGCCACAGUGAGAUACGAGAGGCACAUGAGCUAUGAGGUGUGGGCCUGCACCAGGAAGGGUCUGACGUGUUCAAGACACCAGACACAGGGGAGGAUGUGGCCUGCUCCGCACAGAACCAGGGCCAUUCAGAACCAGGCCCGUCCAGAACCAGGUCCAUCCAGAACCAGGCCCAUCCAGAACCAGGCCCAUCCAGAAACAUGCAGGCCCAUCCAGAACUGAGGGCCGAGUUUGUCGCUGGAGCCCACCUUCUUCUCCUCAGAGCUCCAUGGAGGACGUCAAGCAAAAAAUGAAAGAAAAGUGAAUGGAUGAAAUGAUCUAUUUGAAUAUGUUAAACAAUGAAAAGACACACAGAUAAUAAGAAACAACGUUGUUCUUGAUGUUAAAAUACAUGUAGAGUUUGAGAAAAAAAAAAUCUGUUGAAAUCUAUCAAAUAUUGCAUUCUAGUAAUGUAUUUUAAAUUAACAGUUGUAUCUAUGGUAAUAGUGUGACACAAAAUGCAAUGAGAGUCUUUAUGAAAAUGCUGGGAAAUGUUUAUUGCAAUAAAAAAAAAAAUGUAUAAACAGAAUAAUAUAAUUAACAUAAAAAACAGUUGAAUCAAUUUGUAUUUAAAUCUAAUAAAUAUUUUGUAGAAGUAGUUAAUAUAGCGAUUGCUCUAAUAAUUAUCUUUGCAUGGCUAUAUAAAAAUAAACAUCCUAUAAUUUCUAUUUCUAUUGCUGAGUUAUGUUUUAGUUUUUUUAUCUUUUUCUUUCUAUGGUAAAUUUGUAAUGUUUAAAGUGUGUAGACACUGGUAUUGUCUUGUUCUACUGUUCAUUUUGAAGAAUAGUUUUUUCUGAACUCAUCUACUGCAUAAACAACUAUAGAACUGAUUUGAAGGAUUAGCUUUUAGCUGUUUUUUAAUUCCAGCAACAUUUCAAGCUAUCUGUUGGUGGGGAGGGAAUUGUGACAUGCAUGAGGACAAAUGUGCUCGUAAGUAGCCAACCGAGACUCAUCUUUGAGAGCUAGACACAAUGUUGACAAUCCUCUUAU